AUACGGAGGUGGCUAGCGUUACUCGGUAUGACUGGGUGUAAAGGGUCCGUAGGCGGCCAUAUGUGUGGUAGGUGAAAGCUUUCGGCUUAACCGAAAAAUUGCCUAUCAAACUGUAUGGCUUGAGGAUGGAAGAGGAGAGCGGAACUGCCGGUGUAAGGGUGAAAUCUGUGGAUAUCGGCAGGAACGCCAGCGGAGAAGUCGGCUCUCUGGUCCAUUCCUGACGCUCAGGGACGAAAGCUAGGGGAGCGAACAGGAUUAGAUACCCUGGUAGUCCUAGCUGUAAACGAUGGGCACUAGAUGCUCGUUCUUUUGGAUGGGUGUCGUAGCUAACGCGUUAAGUGCCCCACCUGGGGACUACGGUCGCAAGACUAAA
rnacentral:rRNA from 1 species